rnacentral:rRNA from 1 species
UUGGUUGAUCCUGCCAGUAGUCAUACGCUUGUCUCAAAGAUUAAGCCAUGCAUGUCUAAGUAUAAGUAUUAUACAGCGAAACUGCGAAUGGCUCAUUAAAACAGUUAUGGUUUAUUUGAUAAUCGAAUUUUACAUGGAUAACCGUGGUAAUUCUAGAGCUAAUACAUGCUGGUGUGCCUGACUUUUCGGAAGGGCGGUAUUUAUUAGAUAACGAACCAAUAUUCCUCUGGUCUAUUGUGGUGAAUCAUAAUAACUGAUCGAAUCGCAAAGCCUUUGGCUGCGAUAUGUCAUUCAAGUUUCUGCCCCAUCAGCUUUCGAUGGUAGUGUAUUGGACUACCAUGGCUUUUACGGGUAACGGAGAAUUAGGGUUCGAUUCCGGAGAGGGAGCCUGAGAAACGGCUACCACAUCUAAGGAAGGCAGCAGGCGCGUAAAUUACCCAAUCCUGACUCAGGGAGGUAGUGACAAGAAAUAACGGACCGGCCUUUUAGGCUCGGGAUUGCAAUGAGCCGAAUUUACACCCCUUAGCGAGGACCCAUUGGAGGGCAAGUCUGGU